UUUCUCUUUUACUUACCAGAUGACUGGUUUAUCAUAAAAGGAUAUAACUCGGGAACAGCCAGACGGAAGAGAUGUAGAGGGCAAGAUUCUCCAAGAGUUUCCUGAGAAGUAUGUGGGUCACCUAUGUUUUUGAGCACUUGUAUCUUUGAAAAUAACUUCAUUCGAACCUGAUACUUUUUGGCUGGGUCUGAAAUUCCAGGCUGGAAAUAACUUCUCUUCGGCUUCUUGAAGGCAGAUCUCCCCGUCGUCUUGGCUGUUUGCACUGCAGGGGGCGUGGACAGAAAAAAGAUGUUUAAAACAGGACUGUUGUAAAACUACCCAGUAAAAUAGACCUUCCCAGAGACACCCACUGGAAGAGUUCAUGGCUGUGCCGGCACUCAUGAUACGGACUUCCCUGGUGGUGCAGUGGUUAAGAAUCCACCUGCCAGUGCAGAGGACACAGGUUCAAGCCCUGCUCCGGGAAGAUCCCACAUGCCACAGAGCAACUAAGCCCAUGAGCCACAACUACUGAGCCCGCGUGCCACAACAACUGAAGCCCGUGCACCUAGAGGCCACACUCUGCAACGAGAAGCCACCACAACUAGAGAAAGCCCGCACACAGCAAUGAAGACCCAACACAGCCAAAAAUAAAUAAAUAAACUUAUUAAAAAAAAUUUUUUUUUAAAUGUUAUAAGUGAAAUCACACAGUAAGGUCUCUUGUGUCACGUUUCUUUCACACAGCAAAAUGCAUCCAAGUUGUAUGGAUUUUUGCUUAUUACUCUAAAAAACAUGUUUUAUCUUUGUUUCACUGAAUAAAAAGUUAUUUUAAAAAGUCA